rnacentral:ncRNA from 1 species
CCUUAUCAAGAGUGGCGGAGGGAACAGGCCCCAUGAUGCCCGGCAACCUGACGUGUUCAAGGUGCCAAAUCCUGCGGAAAAUCCGGAAGAUGAGG